CCAAUAGCGUAUAUUAAAGUUGUUGCAGUUAAAAAGCUCGUAGUUGAAUUUCGGGAUCAGUACGCCGGUCGUGCCUCCGGUAUGUACUGGUGUCACUGGUUCCUCCCUUCUGAAGAACCAUCAUGCUAUUAAUUUAGUGUGGUGGGAAAUCAGGACUGUUACUUUGAAAAAAUUAGAGUGUUUAAAGCAGGCUCACGCUUGAAUACAUUAGCAUGGAAUAAUGAAAUAGGACGUUGAUCCUAUUUUGUUGGUUUCUAGGAUUGACGUAAUGAUUAAUAGGGAUAGUUGGGGGCAUUAGUAUUCAAUUGUCAGAGGUGAAAUUCUUGGAUUUAUUGAAGACUAACUACUGCGAAAGCAUUUGCCAAGGAUGUUUUCAUUAAUCAAGAACGAAAGUUAGGGGAUCGAAGUCGAUCAGAUACCGUCGUAGUCUUAACCAUAAACUAUGCCGACUAGGGAUCGGAUGAUGUUAAUUUUUUAAUGACUCAUUCGGCGCCUUACG
rnacentral:rRNA from 1 species